rnacentral:rRNA from 1 species
UACGGGGGGGGCAAGCGUUGUUCGGAAUUACUGGGCGUAAAGGGCUCGUAGGUGGCCAACUAAGUCAGACGUGAAAUCCCUCAGCUUAACUGGGGAACUGCGUCUGAUACUGGAUGGCUUGAGUUUGGGAGAGGGAUGCGGAAUUCCAGGUGUAGCGGUGAAAUGCGUAGAUAUUCGGAAGAACACCAGUGGCGAAGGCGACUCACUGGCCCGAUACUGACGCUGAGGCGCGAAAGCGUGGGGAGCAAACAGG